rnacentral:RNase_P_RNA from 1 species
AGGAAGGUGUUACGUGGAAACGCGUAGUAACAGAAAGUGCUGCAGAAAUUAAUACCGCCGAUGGUCUCCGGACUCAGGUAAGGGUGAAAAGGUGAGGUAAGAGCUCACCAGUUCUAGAGUAAUCUGGAAGCUUUGGUAAACCUUGCGGGUUGCAAGACCAUGUACACUAAUGCUUGAGGGCUGCUCGCCCGAGUUAGGGGGUAGGUUGCUUAGAUAAAUGGUGAAUCGUUUCGGCGAACAGAAUCUGGCUUACAUCAUGCUUAUUAAA